GGAGGAAUACUUCACAUGGGUUCGAAGGCCAGUGACCUUGACCUACUUUUCAAGGUCACCAAUGGUCAUAACUGCCAAAUCCUUUGUCGCAACGUAGCUCAGAACCUAUUGCUCACAGAAACUUCAUAUUUGAUGGGUACAUGCCUUGGAGGAGUACUUCGCAUGGGUUCGAAGGCUGUUGACCUUGACCUACUUUUAAAAAAUUA